CCCUUAGAUGUUCUGGGCCGCACGCGCGCUACACUGAUGCAUUCAACGAGUCUAAAACCUGGUCUGAUAGGGCUGGGUAAUUUUUUGAAUGUGCAUCGUGAUUGGGAUAGAUGAUUGCAAUUCUUCAUCUUCAACGAGGAAUGCCUAGUAAACGCAAGUCAUCAGCUUGCAUUGAUUACGUCCCUGCCCUUUGUACACACCGCCCGUCGCUCCUACCGAUUGAAUGUUCCGAUGAAUACCAUGGACUGAGAGUAUGAAUGGGUUCGCCUAUUUCUGCUUCUCGGGAAGUGGAGUAAAUCUUAACAUUUAGAGGAAGGAGAAGUCGUAACA
rnacentral:rRNA from 1 species